rnacentral:lncRNA from 1 species
GGAGUGUCAUAUAAGACCCAUCUGUGACAUAUAAAAGACCCAUCUGUGACAUAUAAGACCCAUCUGUGACAUAUAAAAGACCCAUCUGUGACAAGAGAUCUCUUCCCCAGAGGGUAAUAGGCAAAUUUGACAUGACACAAGGCUGACUUUGUCCUGAUUGCCCUUCUCAUCUCUCCAGGUUAGAGUUUAGAGUUUUGUUUUGGGUUAUUGGUGUAACCAAUCUCUUGGCGGUGAGUGAGUGUAUCAGGUAAAGGCCAAGCUGAAGGCCAAUCUUGUCCUCUAAUAAUUGUUACACCAGCCCCAGUGUCUUUUAAUCCUUCAAAGCUUUUUCCUUCAAUUAUUAACUUAAGGUUAGGACUCUUACUAGUAAUAGAUUGAACCCAGUACACAUCAGAGGAACCAAAGCCACCCUGUCCUCUCUCACUCUUAGCAAAUUUGGAAGGUAGCUGAUGCAAGGGAACUAAGAUAAGUUGAGCAAUUCUUUGGUUAGCAAGUACAGUUAUAAUACCAUGAGGGGAAGCAGCCAUAACUUUAAUUUCUCCCUCAUAAUCAUUAUCUAUAACACCUGGGUAAAUAUGCAGUCCUUUUACAAUAGUACAGCUUUGUCCUAGAAGAAAUCCUCAAGUUUCUGCAGGUAAAGGUCCACAAACUCCUGUAGGCAGGGUUUGAACUCCCAUUUCUGGGGUUAAUACCACGUGGGUGGUGGAACAGAGGUUCAAUCCUGCACUUCCUGGGGUUGCCCUGAUAAGUUCAAAAAUGGGUUUCCCUGGCCUGGCAGCAGCUUCAUGACCCCACAAGCUGCUUGCUGUGGUCGUCUGGGAGCCUAAGGCUGGCCCCUCUGGCAUGGGAAGGCCCUGAAUAUCUGUCUUAGAUUUACAUUCCCUGGCCCAGUGGUUAUACUUCCUGCAUCGAGGACAAACUCCUGGGGCAUAGCCUGAUUGCCCACUCACGACACUUCUAUUUCUAGGA